rnacentral:rRNA from 1 species
UACAGAGGUGGCAAGCGUUGUUCGGAAUUACUGGGCGUAAAGGGCGCGUAGGCGGUUCGUUAAGUCCUGUGUGAAAUCCCCCGGCUCAACUGGGGAACUGCACAGGAAACUAGCGGGCUUGAGUUCGGGAGAGGGAAGCGGAAUUCCGGGUGUAGUGGUGAAAUGCGUAGAGAUCCGGAGGAACCCCAGAGGCGAAGGCGGCGCUCUGGCUCGCAACUGACGCUCAGACACGACAGCAUGGGGAGCGAACGGG